AGAGCGAACGCUGGCGGCAGGCCUAAUACAUGCAAGUCGAACGGAUCCUUCGGGAUUAGUGGCGGACGGGUGAGUAACACGUGGGAACGUGCCCUUUGGUUCAGAACAACUCAGGGAAACUUGAGCUAAUACUGGAUAAGCCCUUCGGGGGAAAGAUUUAUCGCCAUUGGAGCGGCCCGCGUCUGAUUAGCUAGUUGGUAGGGUAAAGGCCUACCAAGGCUACGAUCAGUAGCUGGUCUGAGAGGACGAUCAGCCGGAUUGGGACUGAGAUACGGCCCAGACUCCUACGGGGGGCAGCAAUUAGGAAUCUUGCACAAUGGGCGAAAGCCUGAUGCAGCGACGUCGCGUGGAGGAUGAAAUCUUUCGGGAUGUAAACUCCUUUUCCCAGGAAGAACAAAUGACGGUACCUGGGGAAUAAGCCCGGCUAACUACGUGCCAGCAGCCGC
rnacentral:rRNA from 1 species